rnacentral:rRNA from 1 species
UACGUAGGGUGCAAGCGUUGUCCGGAAUCAUUGGGCGUAAAGCGCGCGUAGGUGGCUUCGUAAGUCCGUUGUGAAAGUCAAAGGCUCGACCUUUGAAAGCCGAUGGAUACUGCGGAGCUAGAGUACGGAAGAGGCGAGUGGAAUUCCUGGUGUAGCGGUGGAAUGCGCAGAUAUCAGGAGGAACACCAAUAGCGAAGGCAGCUCGCUGGGACGUUACUGACACUAAGGCGCGAAAGCGUGGGGAGCGAACAGG